AACUUAUUUGUAAGGUACUGCAUGUUUGUAAAUUAAAAAAAGCGGUGGAUGCCAAGGUAUCAAAGCAUGUUGUUGGUCUGAGUUUCUCAGGAAUGUAAAAAACCUGCAUGUGAGGAGUUUCAGGAGGAGUUCAGGACACCACGUGUCUGAACAAUAAAAUGCUAAAGAAAAGCUGGUUUUAAAAAUAUAUGAAGUGAUUGACAUGGACUUCAAAUCCUGUAAUUUCGCAUAUAAUGUGAUGAUCAUUCAGCUGCCCAGCAACCCUGUGUGUCAUAUUGUGGAUGUUCAUAUUGAUUCAAAGCAGUCCAUGAAAGCUGUUAAAACACAGAGGAGUUACCUCCGGCUCAGAAGUGACAGAAUUGCCAGCUGUUCUAAGUUACAGGUCUCCAGAGUCCCUGUCACAAAUCAGAGAUACUUUGAUAAGGUGAAAUGGAGAAAGAGAUGUGAAAAGGCAAAACAGAACUAUUACCAGUAAAGAUGCGUGGCACUCCCACCCAUUUUCAAAAGGGAUAAUUGACAAUUAAAAUAAUUCUGAAACAUCUACAGGAGAAACUUCUGCCUCUUCCAACAGUCUUUGUUUCUUCCUCUUCGGGACAAUUUCAGAAAGAGAGAUCAUCAUCAUUUACCAGCCAAGCAUCUAUUGAUUUAAUUACUUAAUUAGACAUGAAGGCAGGGAGUUAUGUCCACAAGGCAAGUAUACAGUUUGGUGAUGUGUGCUCAUACAGUGGGUUAUUUUAAACUGGUGGCUGGUUUUGUGUGGAACAGUGUACC